UACGUAGGGUGCGAGCGUUUAAUCGGAAUUACUGGGCGUAAAGCGUGCGUAGACGGUUAUUUAAGUCGGGUGUGAAAGCCCCGGGCUCAACCUGGGAAUUGCAUUCGAGACUGAAUAGCUAGGGUGCGGAAGAGGGAAGCGGAAUUUCCGGUGUAGCGGUGAAAUGCGUAGAUAUCGGAAGGAACACCAGUGGCGAAAGCGGCUUCCUGGUCCAGCACCGACGUCAGGCACGAAAGCGUGGGGAGCAAACAGG
rnacentral:rRNA from 1 species